UGUGUGUGUGUGUGUGUGUGUGUAUGAGAGAGAGAGAGUGAGAGAGAGAGAGAGAGAAUAGAAUUUUAUUCAGUCAUAAAAAAAGAAUGAAAUCUUGCCUAUUAUGACAACAUGGAUAGACCUUAAGGACAUUAUGCUAAGUGAAAUAAGUCAUAUUCAAAAGAUAAAUAUAUGAUCUUACUUAUGUAUGGAAUUUAAAACCAAAACAAGACAAGCUCAUGGAUAUAGAGAACAGAUUGGUGGCUGUGUGAAGCAGUACAUUGGGGUUACAUGAAAUGAGUGAAGAGAGAUGUACAAAUUUCCAGCUUUAACAUGAUUUUGUGUCACAUGAGACUCACAGAAGCACAGAGGGAGAACUCUGCAGCAGCAUUGCUCAUGCGUGUGUUACCAUGAGAACAGCAACCCGGCUUUUAGUUCUGAAAUUAUUUUACGUGGCCAACCAAGAAAAUCUCUGAGGAUAAUGCUUCAUUUACAAGAGUGUCCUGGCAAAAGACAACAUAAUGUAAUCACAUAUUACCAACAAUUCCAUGACAACGAUGCAGUGGUUUUAAAAUGACUUCCAAAUAAAAGCUUAAUUAUAGCAAGCUAUAAAAAAAUUAAACAAAAGAUACAAUAAUGGCACUAAAAUUAAAUUAAGGAAAAAUCACACAGUACAUAAAGAUGUG
rnacentral:lncRNA from 1 species